rnacentral:rRNA from 1 species
GACGUAGGGCGCGAGCGUUGUUCGGAAUUACUGGGCGUAAGGGCUCGUAGGCGGCCAACUAAGUCGGAUGUGAAAUCCCCAGGCUUAACCUGGGAACUGCAUCCGAUACUGGAUGGCUUGAAUUCGGGAGAGGGAUGCAGAAUUCCAGGUGUAGCGGUGAAAUGCGUAGAUAUCUGGAGGAAUACCGGUGGCGAAGGCGGCAUCCUGGACCGAGAUUGACGCUGAUGAGCGAAAGCUAGGGGAGCAAACGGG